rnacentral:lncRNA from 1 species
CCCCCACUUGUCAUGAUCUUUCUCCCCUUUCCUGGUUGCCUUCUAUCACAGUGUCCUCAGUCCUUAAAUUCAUUUGGAAGUUUUGGGGCUGUUGUCAUGGGUCCCUUUCAUUUAUCAUUUUUUAUUUUUUACUAUUUUAAGAUUUUUUUCCCUCCUCAAAGAUAUUUUUAAAGGAAAAAAAAAGCAAAACAAAAAAUAAUAAAGAGAAAACUUUUGUUUUUCUAUUUCUUUUCUUUUCUCUCUCUCUCUCUCUCUCUUUUUUCUUUUUUAAUUUAAAACAGUUUGUUUUUCUUUUAAAAUUUCCUGCUAAAUUGAAAAGAAAAAGAAAAACAAAAGAAAAAGUCUACUUCUUUCUACUUGAUGGUAACAAAGAAAAUAUGAAACAAAAUUCACACAAAUCCAGACAAAAAAAAACAAAAAAAAAAGAAAGAAAAAUCUUUUGACAAUGCAACAACAACAAAAACAAUGAAACUUUUUAAGAAUUCAAACAACUUAUUCCUUUUUCUGUGGACCAUUGACAUUUUGGUAAACAGAAAUGAUUCAACUACAAACGUAUAAAGAAAUAAAAAAUUUUAAAAAAAUAUUUAAAAAUGAUUGAAUGAAUAAAAAACAAAUAUAAUUAAAUAACAAAAAAUGAAUUGAUUGUAAAAUUGUUUGAUACUUUUUUUCUCAGGUGUAUAAAAUGUGAUCUUAACUUGAUAUAUCUCUUCUGGUCUAUACAAAUAAAUUCUUGUUGUUUUGU